ACGUAGAGGGAAUGAGUCAGGCUCCGGCUCCACACUGGCACGUAGUGGGCGGAUCGCGCCGGCGCUGAGUAGGAAGGAGCUUCAGCCGCCAGCCCGGAACGCAAAGCUCCUGAAAAGUACAUCAAGUCUAAAGUGAACCAGCUAACUCAUUAAGACUGGAAUCAUGAGCAACAAUGGAGCAGACCUAACCUUUGGUUACAUCUCCUGUUUUGUAGCUAUCCUUUUGUUUGGCUCAAAUUUUGUGCCACUUAAAAAAUUUGAUACUGGUGAUGGAAUGUUUCUCCAGUGGGUUCUUUGUGCUGCCAUAUGGUUGGUUGCCUUGGUUGUCAAUCUGAUAUUACAUUGUCCAAAGUUUUGGCCUUUUGCAAUGCUUGGGGGCUGCAUUUGGGCAACAGGGAACAUUGCUGUUGUCCCAAUUAUCAAAACCAUUGGUUUAGGCCUUGGAAUCUUAAUCUGGGGAUCAUUUAAUGCCUUAACUGGCUGGGCAAGCUCAAGGUUUGGCUGGUUUGGAUUGGAUGCAGAAGAAGUAUCAAAUCCGCUGCUAAAUUACAUUGGAGCUGGGCUAUCAGUAGUAAG
rnacentral:lncRNA from 1 species